GACGAACGCUGGCGGCGUGCUUAACACAUGCAAGUCGAACGAUGAAGCCGGAGCUUGCUCCGGUGGAUUAGUGGCGAACGGGUGAGUAACACGUGAGCAAUCUGCCCUUGACUCUGGGAUAACUGCGGGAAACUGUAGCUAAUACCGGAUACGACACCUUGGGGCAUCCUAGGGUGUGGAAAGAAUUUCGGUCAAGGAUGAGCUCGCGGCCUACCAGCUAGUUGGUGAGGUAAUGGCUCACCAAGGCGACGACGGGUAGCCGGCCUGAGAGGGUGACCGGCCACACUGGAACUGAGACACGGUCCAGACUCCUACGGGAGGCAGCAGUGGGGAAUAUUGCACAAUGGGUGAAAGCCUGAUGCAGCAACGCCGCGUGAGGGAUGAAGGCCUUCGGGUUGUAAACCUCUUUUAGCAGGGAAGAAGCGAAAGUGACGGUACCUGCAGAAAAAGCACCGGCUAACUACGUGCCAGCCGCCGCCGUAA
rnacentral:rRNA from 1 species